AGCCAAUAGAUACCCGGGUAGUCCACGCCCUAAACGAUGUCUACUAGUUGUUGGUGGAGUAAAAUCCAUGAGUAAACGCAGCUAAACGCGUGAAGUAGACCGCCUGGGGAGUACGGUCGCAAGAUUAAAACUCAAAGGAAUUGACGGGGGCCCGCACAAGCGGUGGAUUAUGUGGAUUAAAUUCGAUGCAACGCGAAAAACCUUACCUGGCCUUGACAUGCCACUAACGAAGCAGAGAUGCAUUAGGUGCCCGUAAGGGAAAGUGGACACAGGUGCUGCAUGGCUGCCGUCAGCUCGUGUCGUGAGAUGUUGGGUUAAGUCCCGCAACGAGCGCAACCCUUGCCAUUAAUUGCCAUCAUUUAGUUGGGCACUUUAAUGGGACUGCCGGUGACAAACCGGAGGAAGGUGGGGAUGACGUCAAGUCCUCAUGGCCCUUAUGGCCAGGGCUUCACACGUAAUACAAUGGUCGGUACAGAGAGUUGCCAACCCGCGAGGGGAGCUAAUCUCAGAAAGCCGAUCGUAGUCCGGAUUGUUCUCUGC
rnacentral:rRNA from 1 species